UACGGAGGAUCCAAGCGUUAUCCGGAUUUAUUGGGUUUAAAGGGUGCGUAGGCGGCUUUUUAAGUCAGGGGUGAAAGACGGUGGCUCAACCAUCGCAGUGCCUUUGAUACUGAGAAGCUUGAUUAAAACUUGAGGCAGGCGGAAUGUGACAAGUAGCGGUGAAAUGCAUAGAUAUGUCACAGAACACCGAUUGCGAAGGCAGCUUACUAAGGUUUUAAUGACGCUGAGGCACGAAAGCGUGGGGGAUCAAACAGG
rnacentral:rRNA from 1 species